rnacentral:tRNA from 1 species
ACUAUUUUGGCAGAUUAAUGUAGUAAAUUUAGAAUUUAUUUAUGUAUAAAAUUUAAUUAUACAAUUAGUA